rnacentral:rRNA from 1 species
UACAGAGGUCUCAAGCGUUGUUCGGAUUCAUUGGGCGUAAAGCGCGCGUAGGCGGCCCGGUAAGUCCGCUGUGAAAGUCCAGGGCUCAACCCUGGAAAGCCGGUGGAUACUGCCGGGCUAGAGUCCGGGAGAGGCGAGUGGAAUUCCUGGUGUAGCGGUGGAAUGCGCAGAUAUCAGGAGGAACACCUAAGGCGAAGGCAGCUCGCUGGAACGGUACUGACGCUGAGGCGCGAAAGCGUGGGGAGCAAACAGG